CUUGUGUCUGUGUGAAGCAGAGCAUCAUGGUACAGGAAGCUUGUGUCUGUGUGAAGCAGAGCAUCAUGGUACAGGAAGCUUGUGUCUGUGUGAAGCAGAGCAUCAUGGUACAGGAAGCUUGUGUCUGUGUGAAGCAGAGCAUCAUGGUACAGGAAGCUUGUGUCUGUGUGAAGCAGAGCAUCAUAGUACAGGAAGCUUGUGUCUGUGUGAAGCAGAGCAUCAUGGUACAGGAAGCUGUGGCAGAGUGAUUAUCCCCAUGAGCUGGAUGCAUGAAGGCUCUUCAAAGGCACGCCUGAAUGAGAGCUUCCUCCAGCUAGGCUCCUCCCAAAGUUUCCCCCAUCUUCUAAAAUAGUGCCACCAGUUGGUGACUUGAGCCAGAUCCUCUGUGAGGACAGCGGUUGGUGACAAGAGCCAUCAGAGCAAGGGGCAGGCUGACAGGAGUGAGGGCACAGUGGAGUCAGCCCAAUGGGGCUCAUUAGCUCAGCGUUCUUCAUCAUGGCUGGAGGCCUUGAUCUUUACUAGAAAAUUCCACACAGUCUCAAGUGCUGAGCAAAAUCAACCAGAUUCUAUUGCUAGGAAGGCAGAGUCCUGAGGAUGGCCCCUUUGGGCGGCAAGACCCCGUGAAUGUCAUGCACAACUUGGAGAAAGUAACCCAAGUGGCACACACUGGAGCCUAAGCAAAUUGCCCAGAAAUCAACUGGCUGCAGCACAAACUAAUUGAAUCUCCACAGAAAGUACCCUUCCUGGCCACACCGUCCCUCCACAACGAAGAAAUAAGUAAAUUAAACUGAGUGUAUACAAGAUCUGGAUGUAGAACUCUCAGCUCCUUCUCCGGCAACAUGUCUAGCCGCAUGCUGCUAUGCCCCCGCCCUGAUGGCAAUGGACUAAACCUCAGAAACUGUAAGUCAG